CUUCAGUCUAUUUAGCAGGCUCUGAGAUGUGCCCUGAAAUACUAAAAUAAGUAUUUGAAGAUGAUGCAUCGAUUGACUGAAACUGUCAGAGAGGGGCGGUGUUAUGGGGACGCCAGCAG